ACGGAAGGCAGCAGUGGGGAAUAUUGGACAAUGGGGGAAACCCUGAUCCAGCGACGCCGCGUGAGUGAAGAAGUAUUUCGGUAUGUAAAGCUCUAUCAGCAAGGAAGAAAAUGACGGUACUUGACUAAGAAGCUCCGGCUAAAUACGUGCCAGCAGCCGCGGUAAUACAUAUGGAGCAAGCGUUAUCCGGAUUUACUGGGUGUAAAGGGAGCGUAGACGGCAAAGCAAGUCUGAAGUGAAAUCCCGGGGCUCAACCCCGGAACUGCUUUGGAAACUGUUUAGCUAGAGUGCAGGAGAGGUAAGCGGAAUUCCUAGUGUAGCGGUGAAAUGCGUAGAUAUUAGGAGGAACACCAGUGGCGAAGGCGGCUUACUGGACUGUAACUGACGUUGAGGCUCGAAAGCGUGGGGAGCAAACAGGAUUAGAUACCCUGGUA
rnacentral:rRNA from 2 species